rnacentral:rRNA from 1 species
GACGAACCUUGCUAACGUUAUUCGGAAUUACUGGGCGUAAAGCGCGCGUAGGCGGCUUUGCAAGUCGGGUGUGAAAUCCCCAGGCUUAACCUGGGAACUGCAUUCGAGACUGCAUUGCUAGAGUAUGGGAGAGGGAAGUGGAAUUUCCGGUGUAGCGGUGAAAUGCGUAGAUAUCGGAAGGAACAUCAGUGGCGAAAGCGACUUCCUGGACCAAUACUGACGCUCAUGUGCGAAAGCGUGGGGAGCAAACAGG